CCUACAAGAUCCUCUGAUCCUCUGCGCUCUGUUCCAUCGGAUUUUCCCCAGUUUCCUGUUCAGACAGCUUGCUUUCUAUGCCAUUUCUUUUUUGAAUCUUACCCCUCUCUCUAACUCCCUAUCAUCGGUUGCAAUUUCUUGAUGGGCAAUUGGAGAAAUCGACCUAGAUCCUACCGCCGAAGAUCUCCCCAGAGAUCAUGGUAUUCCGGCCGAGAUUUUUCUUCCGAUGGUUAUGGCGAGGAAGAUGGGAUUCCAGCAUGGGAAAAAGAAUUCUGUGAGUUGAUUGGAUGCGUACCAUGGCAAAAGGUCGUGGAGGCCAAUUACUUCAAGAGCUGGUACCAAGGUAAUGUAACCACGUGGAAUGAUGCUGCCUGCGAAGAGGCUUUUCAAUGUGUCAAAAAACGGUUUUGGUCAGAAAUCAGUGGUCUUCCCUGUGACAUUCCUCUCCCUGAUCCUGAUAUGUUCAUUGAUGAAAUCGAUUGGGACUCUGUGAUUGAUCCCCAACUGAUCACUGACUUAGAACUGGCUUAUUUUGCUGCUCCUGAUGAAGGAACGGUUGAUCUUAAGACUGGGUGUAGGGACAAGAAUGUGGGAAAUUCUAAAAUGCUCCCCGAACAGUAUAACGAGGAGACUGACCUGCCCAAGAAUACAUGGGAAAUCAAUGGCAGAGUGGAUGGUCGGAACCUAUCAGAAAGUUUUACUGAUAACAAAUUCUUUAUGGAUUCAAAGAACAGCUUGAACCCUUGGGAAGCCAAGACUAGUUGCAGAAAUGAGGCAGCAAAAGAUCUAACAUGGGGCGUCUGCUCGGGUAAGGGAUGGGGCAAUUCUCAAUGGAAAACCAAAGAUAGGGGCAAUGACAGUUGGGAGGAAGAGUGUUGGGACAAUGAUGGAUGGAAUAAGUCAGGGCAUCAAAACAAGAAGACAAAAAAAUUUGCAAGUGUUUUCUCUGUAGAGUGUAAUGCUGAGCCUGAAAUGCUCGUGAAUCCUUGGGAAGCCAAGUCUAGUUGUGGAGUUGAAGCAAGAAAAGACGCCACAUGCGGGGCUUGCUCAGGUAAGGUAUGUAGAGGCAGAGGUUGGGAGAACAAUGGUUGGGGCAAUAACAGAUGGAAGAACAAGGAAAGGGGCUUCAAAAGUAAGGAGAACAAGGGUCAGGGCAAUAAAUAUGGUCAGAAUCCUCCAGGAUCAAAGGGGCAGGAUUCAGGGGAACUGCAUAGAGGUUGCAAUUCCUGGAGAAAUGUCUGUUUGCCUGAAAAUGAUGAUGUAAGAGAUUGUGGAGCAAACAUAGGGGGUAGGGAAACAAACCGGACAAGUGAUAUGAAACAAAGGAAGUGGGAAGACAAACGAUCGAGUGGAGAAUGGGGAGAUAUAAAUUCAUAUUUAUUCAGAAACGACGAGUACCGUUCUAAUUUCAGAAACUCAAGGUUUAACAGGGAUGCUAAACAGCGUAAUAGUAGCGACUGGAGGAAUGUGAAAGUGAGCAAGAAUGUCACUUUUCACGGCUAAGUAUCAUGGAUCCUCCAUGAAUUGCUCCACGGCUAGAACCGCUGACAGAUUAGCAACCUAUCUGUGCUCGAUGACGUUGAUUUGUGGAGACCGUCAGCAUUUUCUUGUGUUUGCAGGAAACAUGAGCAGAGCAAAAGCGAAGGGCCGACUUGGCUUAACAGUAAAACCAUUUACGGUGGGGUCUGAGGUCGUGGGUCUGAGGUCGUGGGUUCGAAUACGUCUCUCUAUAUAAAAUGUAGAGGCAAGGCGGACUACUCUAUUCCCUUUCCUAUCCCCCCACUAGAUGGGAUACAAGUGGGUUGGCUCUUUUUAUGAACAAAGCAACAUAGGACCACGAGGGAGUGAGUUUGGGCUCUUUUUUCUAGAAAUCAGGUGACUUUGACGGACUCGUGUUUUGGUUCAUCAUAGUUACAAGCACCCUUUUUAUGGUUUUCUGGUGUCGGUAAUACACUAUACAAGCAGUCUUCCAAAUGUUCGAAGCAGAACAUGUUUGGGAUUGGAAUUUUGUUCAAAUUGAUCAGAAUUUUUUUUUUAUAAUGUAUGCUUUUUGUUCUAGUUUUAUAUUUAGAAUCUCAGUA